rnacentral:tRNA from 1 species
GCGUUGGUGGUAUAGUGGUGAGCAUAGUUGCCUUCCAAGCAGUUGACCCGGGUUCGAUUCUCGGCCAACACA